GUAUAAUCCUGCCAGCCUGCCACCCAAUGCUGAAGAGAAGGACUUUAUCGAGGCUUAUGAAAACGUCAGGGAGAAAUAUAAAGACAGUUUUGUGGUCCCAGCUGGCAAAUUGUUUGGCCCAGUUGCUAAGGGCAACAGCAGUGUUUCUGACCACAGCCUGGGGCGAGCUGUAUUUACUGGACCAGCUUCUUAAGUGAGUCAUGUUGUCUAGGCAACCGAGGGACCGAACACGAAGUCUCCCCUGACCACACCCAGCCUGGGUUUGACCGCUUAGUGAUUAGUCAUCCAUUUUGUGGCUUUGAAAGGAGCGCCUGACACAACGCUUGACUGAUUAUACAACUGACUUUCUUGUCGUUCUUGCAUUUGUUCCCUUCUCUGCGUUUUCACUCUUUGUACCCUAUUUACUGAAUUAAACAAAACUGAAAAGUACUAAACGAGAA